CCUACGGGUGGCAGCAGUGAGGAAUAUUGGUCAAUGGGCUUACGCCUGAACCAGCCAAGUCGCGUGAGGGAAGACUGCCCUAUGGGUUGUAAACCUCUUUUGUCAGGGAGCAACGCCGGCUACGUGUAGCCGGACUGAGAGUACCCGAAGAAAAAGCAUCGGCUAACUCCGUGCCAGCAGCCGCGGUAACACGGAGGAUGCGAGCGUUAUCCGGAUUUAUUGGGUUUAAAGGGUGCGUAGGCGGAAUGCCAAGCCAGCGGUAAAAUCGCGGGGCUCAACCUCGUCCGGCCGUUGAAACUGGCGUUCUUAGGGGGGCGGAAGGUGUGCGGAAUGCGUGGUGUAGCGGUGAAA
rnacentral:rRNA from 1 species